AACGAACGCUGGCGGCAGGCUUAACACAUGCAAGUCGAGCGCCCCGCAAGGGGAGCGGCGGACGGGUGAGUAACGCGUGGGGAUGUACCCAGAGGUUCGGAAUAACCCAGGGAAACUUGGGCUAAUACCGGAUGAGCCCUGAGGGGGAAAGAUUUAUCGCCUUUGGAUCAACCCGCGUCGGAUUAGCUAGUUGGUGGGGUAAUGGCCUACCAAGGCGACGAUCCGUAGCUGGUCUGAGAGGAUGAUCAGCCACACUGGGACUGAGACACGGCCCAGACUCCUACGGGAGGCAGCAGUGGGGAAUAUUGGACAAUGGGCGCAAGCCUGAUCCAGCCAUGCCGCGUGAGUGAUGACGGCCUUAGGGUUGUAAAGCUCUUUCGCACGCGACGAUAAUGACGGUAGCGUGAGAAGAAGCCCCGGCUAACUUCGUGCCAGCCGCCGCAGUAACAC
rnacentral:rRNA from 1 species